rnacentral:lncRNA from 1 species
AAUCAUCAUUGGGGUAUCUAGUUUAAAAAAUUCGUAAGGGUUCCACGGAACCCAGUGUCUCGCCUACUCAACAAAAAUGAGGAAAAACAUCAAUAAAAAUUUCCCUCUCGAUACUGUCUUUUGAUUGAAAGAAGCUUCCAAGUUUGGUAAAAAAUCCAGGAUAGUUUAUGAAUCUAAUAAAUGUUUUAUAAACUUUAACUGCAGACUGUUAUGUAAUAGUAACUGAAAGAAAAACUAAGUCCAUUUACAA